UAAAGCUACGCACCUGGCCCAGAAAGCUUUCACGCUUCUGAAAAAAAGCAGCUAUUAGUUUCACUUGCAGGAUGCAGGACGUGGCUACAACAGGGGGAGCCCCACUGCCGCCCCAGAAAAGUCGCUGCUGGCCCCAGGGAUGGGAGAGUAGUUGGGGGGGAGAAGGAGUCUUGUGCCAAUAGGAAGUCACGCUACGCUCCUCCCUCCCUACGGCGUUUAUCCAAGCCAGGCAAGUACUUUCCAAUAAAGGAUUUUGAUGAUGAUGAAGAAGAUGAAGAAGAAGAAUGAAGAAGAGGAGGAGUCUUCCAAAAUGGAUAAAGGAAAGCAGCCCUAGCAUGGAAGACUCAUCAUGUGAAGGAGAACCUACAGAUGCAAGAUCUGCCCCAGCUCUGCCAUUAACCUGGGUGCCCUUCCCUUCCCCUGUCUGAGCCUGUUUUCUCAUUACCAACAGAACAAGUCAAUCUCAUACAUAUCUUUUCACCCAGUCUAGUCCAUCUUUUUGUUAUCUAAUACCUGUCAUAUUUAUUAUUGUUUAUAGUUAUUAUUUAGGUCGAUAGGUAUUAAUAAAAGUGGAUUUCUAUUGA